rnacentral:pre_miRNA from 1 species
CUACUACUCCCUCUGUUCCGAAUUACUCGUCGCCGAAAUGGAUGUAUCUAGAUGUAUUUUAGUUCUAGAUACAUCCAUUUUUGUGACAAGUAAUUUGGAACAGAGGGAGUAUGUG